rnacentral:rRNA from 1 species
UACGUAGGGACCGAGCGUUGUCCGGAAUCAUUGGGCGUAAAGAGCGUGUAGGCGGCUCGCUAAGUCUUGCGUGAAAUCUCGGGGCUCAACCCCGAGCGGUCGUGAGAAACUGGCGGGCUAGAGUGCGGGAGAGGAGAGUGGAAUUCCUGGUGUAGCGGUGAAAUGCGCAGAUAUCAGGAAGAACACCCGUGGCGAAGGCAGCUCGCUGGGACGGUACUGACGCUGAGACGCGAAAGCGUGGGGAGCAAACAGG